rnacentral:lncRNA from 1 species
UCAAAUUUUAAUAUAUCAUUAAAUUACAAUAUGCAUUUUACAAUAUGCAUUAAGCCACUCUUUGAAUUUUACAUUAAUUCUUAAUAAGUACUCUUUAAUACUCACUUAUAUUGCAUUUAGUUCCUAUUAUAUGAAUCAUUAUUUCCUACAUUUAAUUAAAAAAUAAAAUUACAAAAAAAAAACCUAAAAAAACUCUCCAAUAUCAUAUCAAAGCUUAAUUCACCC